rnacentral:rRNA from 1 species
GUCCAGACUCCUACGGGAGGCAGCAGUGGGGAAUAUUGCACAAUGGGGGAAACCCUGAUGCAGCGACGCCGCGUGAGUGAAGAAAUAAUUCGUUAUGUAAAGCUCUAUCAGCAGGGAAGAAAAUGACGGUACCUGAGUAAGAAGCCCCGGCUAACUACGUGCCAGCAGCCGCGGUAAUACGUAGGGGGCAAGUGUUAUCCGGAUUUACUGGGUGUAAAGGGAGCGUAGACGGCAGUGCAAGUCUGGAGUGAAAGGCGGGGGCUCAACCCCCGGACUGCUCUGGAAACUGUACGGCUGGAGUGCAGGAGAGGUAAGUGGAAUUCCUAGUGUAGCGGUGAAAUGCGUAGAUAUUAGGAGGAACACCAGUGGCGAAGGCGGCUUACUGGACUGUAACUGACGUUGAGGCUCGAAAGCGUGGGGAGCAAACAGGAUUAGAUACCCUUGUAC